AGAGUAUAAAUACAGAAGCGAAAACUUAUGCGACAUGGAAUUAAAUCAUACGUGGCCUAUACUCCGCUUUGGAUGGUUAAAGGCAAGAAGAAGAAGAAA